AGAGAAAAUUGAGUUUGAUUAAUGACAAAUCAUACAAAGUCUUGCAAAUUUACAUCUGAAAGUCUCAAACCAUCACAUACAACCUUCUCUUUCUCCUCAUGUCUCUCACUCGAAUUCAAAAGACUGAAAGAAAAGCAAAAUACAAACUGAUAAAACUUGGCUCACUUUCCGGGAACAAAGUUGGUUGCGAAGGCCCAUGCGUUGUUGUUGACUGGAUCGGCCAAAUGGUCAGCAAGGUUCUCUAUCGGUCCCUUACCAGUGACAAUGGCUUGAACGAAGAAUCCAAACAUAGAGAACAUAGCCAAUCUUCCGUUCUUGAGCUCCUUCACCUUCAACUCCGCGAAAGCCUCUGGGUCGGUAGCAAGACCCAAUGGGUCGAAGCUGCCACCGGGGUAAAGCAAGUCCUCGGCCUCUCCCAACGGCCCAUUUCCUGCGACUCUGUAGCCUUCAACAGCUCCCAUCAAGAUAACUUGAGUGGCCCAAAUGGCCAAAAUGCUCUGAGCGUGGACCAAGCUAGGGUUUCCCAAGUAAUCGAGUCCUCCAUCGCUAAAGAUCUGUGAACCGGCCUUGAACCAAACCGCCUCUCCGAACUUGACUCCGUUCCUAGCCAAAAGCUCAGGGAAGACGCAGCCUAGGGCUCCGAGCAUAGCCCACCUGCUGUGGAUAACUUCUAGCUCACGGUUCCUUGCGAAUGUCUCGGGAUCAGCUGAAAGUCCAGCGGUGUCCCAUCCGUAGUCUCCGGGGAACUCUCCGGUAAGGUAGCUCGGUGACUCGCCAGAGAAUGGACCCAAGUACUUGACUCGGUCGGAUCCGUACCAUGGGCUGCCUGAUGGACCCUUUGGCUUGGCAACAGUCUUCCUCAUUGUCACACGGCCGCUUCCGAGGACUUCAGAUGCCGCGGGGGAAAGGUUCACAGCCUUUCCGGCGAAGGCAGGGGAGGAGAGAGCCAUUGUGGAGGCGGCCAUUGAAACUUUUUGUGUUUUUUUUUUUUUUUGGUGACUAACUUGUGAGU
rnacentral:sRNA from 1 species